rnacentral:lncRNA from 1 species
CAUGGAUCUACAAUCUGUCGAUACCUGUAACUUGGUAUUGCACAAGGUCAUGUUUUUCUCUGGCUGUUUAUGAUGUCUUUACACUAAAUCCAUUGGAUGUUGGAUGUGAACGGAUUGGUUGUUUAGUCUUAGAUGCAUGAUUUUUUUUUAUUAGUUGUUAGUGGCUUUGAACUAGCUGUCAGGUAACUGCGAGUACUCUCAGAUCUGUUCAAUGUGUCUUUUUG